AUGUUCGUUCUUCCCAGUUCCGUCUUCCUUGACCAGGUAGUUUUGCAGUAUGUGGACUGUUGGACCAUGGAGUUGUGCUGUAGUGCUUACUCAGAUUUUGAUCAUACUGGAGCAGAAUGGAUAACCUUAAAUUCAUCAGACUUUGUUUCAUAAGUCAUCCACAUACUAAAACAGGAGGAAUUCUGUAGUUCAGGAGGACCAGAGGACUUCACACGAUGAAUGGCCACAUGUGAAGGCAUUUGAGAGAUUUGUUCCUCCGAAGGCUCUGGACUGUCAAACCCACGUGGAGAAGUACAUAAUGGUCCCUCUAAGCAGUCCAGCGUUGACUAGUUAUGGGGAGAAACAUUUUAUGCAUUAAAGUUGACCUAUUCCAACCUAUUUUUUUUUUUUUUUCCUCUUUCUAAUCCUAAGAAUUAUUGCUUGUGUUUUAUGUAAGUGCAUAAAUAGUCUUGCAGCUGGCACUUACCUCUCUUACUUUUACAAUAAAACUAUUAAACCAUGAAUUGAUUUUU